rnacentral:rRNA from 1 species
UACGUAGGGUGCAAGCGUUGUCCGGAAUUAUUGGGCGUAAAGAGCUCGUAGGCGGUUUGUCGCGUCUGCUGUGAAAACUGGAGGCUCAACCUCCAGCCUGCAGUGGGUACGGGCAGACUAGAGUGCGGUAGGGGAGAUUGGAAUUCCUGGUGUAGCGGUGGAAUGCGCAGAUAUCAGGAGGAACACCGAUGGCGAAGGCAGAUCUCUGGGCCGUUACUGACGCUGAGGUGCGAAAGCGUGGGGGAGAAACAGG